rnacentral:rRNA from 1 species
CUUGGUCAUUUAGAGGAAGUAAAAGUCGUAACAAGGUAACCGUAGGUGAACCUGCGGUUGGAUCAUUACGAAUCAAAACUUUGCCCGUCGUGCUGCCUUUGGCCGUGCGACGCGGUGGACAAACACCCAUGUGCUCCAUUUAACGUCUUUUGGCGGUCCCCUCGCCGCGUCGUGUUCGCACGAAGCGGAGUUGUGCGUGUGGUUGGGCGCGAGCCCGGACACACGCGUUGGGCCGCCAGCAGUGACAAACACCAAAAUCUUGUUUUAUCUGAACCCAAAACGAAAGCAAUGAGAAACAACUUUACACAACGGAUCUCUAGGCUCUCGCAACGAUGAAGAACGCAGCGAAAUGCGAUACGUAAUGUGAAUUGCAGAACCCGUGAAUCAUCAAAUCUUUGAACGCACAUUGCGCCCCCUGGCAUUCCGGGGGGCAUGUCUGUUUGAGAACCUUGACGUCCCUCACCCCCCCCUCUCGUGUCCGCACGAGGUUGGGAGGUGGAUCUGGGCCAACCUCGCACUCGCUGUGGGGUGGCCUGAAAGUCAAGAUCGGCAGUCGCCGCGGGUCAAACCUCCGCAGCGCCGCACAACAAGACGUGCCAGUGAGAUUUUCUCAUCCAGCGUCGGACCGUGUGGCAUGCGGGCCAUGGGUUUGCAUCCAUCGCUCGAUCACUCGAGAGAGGCAUUGUCGACUCACUAGUCGCCAGGCGAGACGCCUCACCGCGCCUCGUAGACCUGAACACCUGUCUCAAAUCAGACAAGACGACCCGCUGAACUUAAGCAUAUCAGUAAGCGGAGGAAAAGAAACUAACAAGGAUUCCCUUAGUAACGGCGAGUGAAGCGGGAAAAGCUCAAUUUUGGAAUCUCCUUCGGGCGAAUUGUAGUUUAGAGAAGCGCUUUCGGGGAUGAAGCCGGCCCAAGUCGUCUGGAACGACGCGCCAGAGAGGGUGAGAGCCCCGUUCGGCCGGUCAAGUCCCUAUGUGAUGUGUCUUCCAAGAGUCGGAUAGCUUGGGAAUGCUGUCCAAAACGGGUGGUAAAUACCAUCUAAAGCUAAAUACGGGCGAGAGACCGAUAGCGAACAAGUACCGUGAGGGAAAGAUGAAAAGAACUUUGAAAAGAGAGUUAAAAGUACGUGAAAUUGUGUAAAGGGAAACGCUUGAUACCAGUGUUGGCGCGCGCAGAUCAGCCGUCCCUCAGGACGGUGCACUCUGUGCACGCCGGGUCAGCAUCGGUUUGAUGUGGGGUACAAAGCCGCGGGAAGGUGACCCUCUGGGUGUUAUAGCCCACGGUCAUGCCCCGUGUCGGACCGAGGACCGCAGCCGCGCUAUUGGGGAACCAUUUGCCUCGCGCCGAAGCCGCCCGACAACUUGUUGACGUUCGGUGUACAGCGUGCGCACAGAUGGCUACCACAACACGGCUUAGGAUGCUGACGAAAUGGUCUCAAACGACCCGUCUUGAAACACGGACC